UAGGUAUUAGCUUAAUUGGUAAAGCAUUUACUUUACACGUAAAACAGUGGUGGUUCGAAUCCUUCAUACCUAA
rnacentral:tRNA from 1 species